rnacentral:tRNA from 1 species
UCCCUGGUGGCUCAGAUGGUAAAGCAUCUGCCUACAAUGCUGGAGACCUGGGUUCGAUCCCCGGGUUGGGAA